rnacentral:tRNA from 1 species
AAGGAAAAACUAAGUAACGGAGGGCGUUUAAAAGCGACUUGAUUUUAGGAAACCAAGGCAGUAUGCUUGCAUACAAGGUGGUUUAUCUAAAUCACAAGCUUUUAGCCCGAGUACAAUUUAGCCGAUAAGGUUAAUGGUACCCUUAUUUAGCUACGGAAGCACGUUUUGGGGAGUGUCUAUUUAGUUUUCAGAGGUUUUGUGGGGCCUUAGCUCAGCUGGGAGAGCGCCUGCUUUGCACGCAGGAGGUCAGCGGUUCGAUCCCGCUAGGCUCCAUUAUCUAGGAUACAAAGAGAUGUUCGGCUUGCCGAAAUUUCUGUAGAAAAAUAGGAAAUCGACGCAGUGUGUCUUGCACACAAGGAGAUUUAUCUUUUUUCCUAAGAAAUUAAUCUCGUGUUCAACUAGAUAAGCUGAUAUUAGAAUACGAUCCUAAACUUUCUAGGAAUAAGUCAAAACCACCUAGUGUCUUAGCGACACGUCGUUGGUUGUCUCCUUAUUCUACGCAAGUUUUGCGACAGGUCGCACCGGAUCUUGAUAUCAUGCACUUGUCCAUUGACAAUUGAAUAUCUAUCAAAUAGUAACAAGAAAAUAAACCGAAACGCUGUAAAUAUUUAAUGAGUUAAUUAAU